UUUUAUCGUUGGCCUCAGAUCAGGGAGGAUCACCC
rnacentral:rRNA from 2 species